UUCUUAAUAGGUUAAUAUUAAAUUGAUUGUGAUUAUUUUUAUAAAAAUAAUUUUUUAUUUAGUAUUGUUUAAAUAAUUUUAUUUGUAAUUUAUAGUUUAUUGUACUGUGAAGGAUACUCAAUAAAGUAUAUAUAAGUAGAUCUUAAAGUUGUACCUUUUGUAUCAGGGUUUAUCAAUUUGAAACAUUUAUUUUGUUAAUCCCGAAAUCAUAAGAGAUAUUUUUGUAUUUAAUUUAAUGUGACAUAAUUAUUAAUUAUACUAAGAUAGGAGUUAUAUGCUAUUCAUUUAUGAAUAUCUGGUUUCUCAAGGAUUGAAUUUAAUUUGUAUACAUUUAUUUAGUUUAGGUAUAUUUAUUCUGAACUGUUAUAUGUGUAAAGUUUUAUAGGGAUAAUCUUAUAAUAGUUUUUAUAAAUGAGCAUUUUAAUAUAAUUAUGUAAAAUUAAUAAUUUUUUUCAUAUAUUUUGUAAUAAUGAUGUUUAUUAUUUAACUUAAUUUAUUGACUGAUUUUAAAUUUUAAUUGAGUAUUUUUAUAUAACUUGUAAUUGUAAGUUAUAAUGAUAGAAUUAGUAAAUUUAAAUUUAUAUUAAUAGGAACUCGGCAAAUGGAAUACUCACCUGUUUAACAAAAACAUGUCUUAUUGAGAUUUAAGUAAUAAGUCAGACCUGCCCAGUGAUUUAUUUAACGGCUGCAGUAAUUUGACUGUGCAAAGGUAGCAUAAUCAAUUGUCUUUUAAUUGAAGGCUAGUAUGAAUGGUUUAAUGAGGUAUUAUCUUUCUUUUUUUAUAUUAAUUGAAUUUAAUUUUUGUGUUAAAAAGCAUAAAUAUUAUUAGAGGACGAGAAGACCCUAUAGAAUUUUAAUACUGUAAUGUAUUUAUAUAUAUGAUAUUAUUUUAUUUUAUUUUAAGGUAUUUUUGUUGGGGUGAUGGGGAGAUUUACAUAACUUUCUUUAAUUUUUUAUACUAAUUUGUAUACUUACGAUCCUAUCUUUAGAUUAUAAGAUUAAAUUACCUUAGGGAUAACAGCGUUAUUGUAUUGGAGAGUUCUUAUCGAUAAUACAGUUUGCGACCUCGAUGUUGGAUUAAAAUUAGUAAUUAGUGCAGUAGCUAAUUAACUAGGUCUGUUCGACCUUUAAACUUUUACAUGAUCUGAGUUCAGACCGGCGUGAGCCAGGUUGGUUUCUAUCCUUAAAAUUAUUUAAUAUUUUAGUACGAAAGGACCAUUUAUUGUGAAAAUUUUAUU
rnacentral:rRNA from 1 species